GCGUUCUUCUGCUUUGCUUCUUUGUAACUACAGUACAUGUGUUGUAGUUGCUGUGAUUUUUCUCUGGCAAGUGCCUCACCUAUUUUGCCAAAACAAUAGAGGAGCGUAGAGAUAAAUAUGACUUUGCUCAGUUACCAGUUGGCUUCCAUUGAAGCCAAGGUAUUUAGUUUUUGACAAUCUUUAUUUAAAGAAGUUUUUUUCACAAAAUACAAAGAUGCCACAUGAAAUGUCAAAUAACAGAAAAAUCAAUAAUGAGAUAAAAAUUAACAAAACAAAUAGAAAAUGCUUAUACAAUACACUUACACUGCAUAAAGAAAGCAAAUAACAUCACAUGGCAGACUUCUAUCAGACACUAAAUAGGGGUAACUUGUUGGGAAAAUUGUGCGUUUACCCAAUGAGCAUGACAUUCAAUGUAACUCUGGAUAGAAAAUUUGAAGGUGCCACAGUGAAUUAAACACAAAGGACAAUAACAGCUCAGGUAGGGAGAGAAGAAAGUAUAGAACUGCUAAAAGAAAGGAGGAGCCAAAGAAAAAGAGGGGAGGAAAGAGCAAGGGGGAAAAUAAAGAUUAAAAAAGGAAUGGUGGGAAAAGGGAAGCAAGACCUGAAUGUCCAGUCUGGAGAGAGCAUCUGUAGUUGGCAGGAGCCACACAGGAAUUUGGAUCAACAGGUUUAGGGUGUUGGGAAGUGUAAUGAAACCAUGAGUGCCGGUUGGCAAAGUACUUGUUUGUCUGCCCUGGUACAGAGUAAAAGGAGUUUCUUUAUGCUAUAGGUGUC